GACGAACGCUGGCGGCGUGCUUAACACAUGCAAGUCGAACGGAAAGGCCCUGCUUGCAGGGUACUCGAGUGGCGAACGGGUGAGUAACACGUGGGUGAUCUGCCCUGCACUUCGGGAUAAGCCUGGGAAACUGGGUCUAAUACCGGAUAGGAGCCAUUUUUAGUGUGAUGGUUGGAAAGUUUUUUCUGUGUAGGAUGAGCUCGCGGCCUAUCAGCUUGUUGGUGGGGUAAUGGCCUACCAAGGCGGCGACGGGUAGCCGGCCUGAGAGGGUGGACGGCCACAUUGGGACUGAGAUACGGCGCAGACGCCUACGGGAGGCAGCAGUGGGGAAUAUUGCACAACGGGCGCAAGCCUGAUGCAGCGACGCCGCGUGGGGGAUGACGGCCUUCGGGUUGUAAACUCCUUUCGCUAGGGACGAAGCUUUUUGUGACGGUACCUAGAGAAGAAGCAACGGCUAACUACGUG
rnacentral:rRNA from 1 species